AACCACUAAGGGGAAAUACCGGUGCAGUUGCCCUGAACCAUGAUGGCCGUCUCUUGACAUCAGCCCAGAUGCUAGAGGUACUGAGACAACGACAUCAUAAAAGCCUGUGUCUUGGCAUCAUCUCAGCAAGAAAGAUGCUGAGCCAGUGUUAAGUAAGAAAUGCAGCUCCUCCUCGGAAAGUUCUGUCCCUCUCCCUUUCCUGGGUUGGGAGCUGGUGAAAUAAGGAUUCGUCAAUCAAGAAAAUCUUCAAUACAAUCCAGUUCAUAGACUGCCUUCCACGGGGUCCAGCACCAUGGAGGCAGCUAAUCCCACUUUCCAUGCAAAAGAAGCAAAACCUGGAUACUCAGGAAGAAAAAACAAACAUGGGAGGAGAAAAACUGUAUGAGAAACUCUACAGGCGUUAAGUCACAAGGGGCCAGCCAGAUUCUCCUCAAUGAAGGGCUUGAAAGGUGGUGAGUAUAUCCUCUAAAGUCCACAGAACGUGAGAAUCUGCAAGGAGAUCCACAGACCUUGGGAGCCUCCUCGUGGUUUCCUGGCCAAUCCAUGACUGUACAGCCUCUCUCUCAGACUUGGCUGCACAGGUCUUGCAUGACCAUUUGGUCUAAUACAGAUUCAGUUUAGUAUAACGAUACAGACACAUCAUCAUUAUUCUAAGCUAACGCAUUGUUAAAAUAUGGGAAAACUUAACAUAUUUUUAAAAUAAAAAGCAAAACUGAAUUGUCAAGAAGGAAUUUCAAUACAAAAUAGAGCUGUUGCUUUAUCAGCAAUAAAAGAGGAAGCACCUUUUUCACUUUGUUGUAGUAGAGGCUAUAGUAACUUAAAUGGGACUCCAUU